GGCUUAUCAUGGCCCUAUCCAGUUAAAUGGUGGAGAGUUCAGGAGCUGUGAGCAAUGCAUCAACCUACAUGAAUAGGUUGGUGUAUUGGGGUGGCCUGUUCUGUCCUCUGUAUUUCAGACCAAGGCAAGACAAUGUUUAAAGCUUACCAUGGAUCUACAAACAGGUUAGCCUCUAUUACAUCUUUGGAUGUAUUAGCAGUGUGAUCAUGGUGUGUUCUGUGUAAUUCCUUUGUCUUUUCCAAUGAUAACUGAAUGGUGAACGAAUGUAUUUACAGUCAAUCAAUCAAUCAAUCAAUCAAUCAAUCAAUCAAUCAAUACAGUGUGAUCAUUGUGUGUUCUGUGUAAUUCCAUUGUCUUUUCCAAUGAUAACUGAAUGGUGAAUGAAUGUAUUUACAGUCAAUCAAUCAAUCAAUCAAUACAGUGUGAUCAUUGUGUGUUCUGUGUAAUUCCAUUGUCUUUUCCUACAUUAACUGAAUGGUGAAUGUCUGGUGUCAUUGUGUCUUCUUGUUGUUUGUGAGAAGAGAAGUUGUUUCUUAGGGGAAUGGAAAUGUUUCUUUCACAUUCUGUAUACACUAACCAAAUGAAUCUCCCGUUUAAGAACUGGGAUAAGCUGCAAAUCUCAUUGUGGGGUAGGCCACGUUAUAAAUAUGGUUAUAGCUCCUAAACUGAAUUACGUUAUCAGCAUGUUUCAUUGUCCAUACCUGCCUUCACCUUUAACACCAUAGACUAAAUGAUUACUCAGUUUAUUUGGACUAGUAAAAGGGCAAUAAUUAACCUAGCUAGAUUACAGGCAAGAGUUUAGAAGGGAGGAUUAAACUGUAAUUUAUACUGAACAAGAAUAUAAACACAAUGUAAAGUGUUGAUCCCAUGUUUCAUGAGCUGAAAUAAAAAAUCCCAGAAAUGUUCCAUAUGCAAAAAAAGCUUAGUUCUCCCAAAUGUUUUGCACAAAUUUGUUUACAUUUGUUUACAUCCCUCUUAGUGAACAUUUCUCCUAUGCUAAGAUAAUCAUUCCACCUGACAGGUGUGGUAUAUUGAGAAGCUGAUUAAACAGCAUGAUCAUUAGCAAAGUGCACCUUGUGCUGGUGACAAUAAAAGGCCACUCUAAAACAUGAAGUUUUGUCAUACAACACAAUGCCACCGAUGUCUCAAGUUUUGAUGGAGCAUGCAAUUGGCAUGAUGACUGCAGGAAUGUCCACCAGAGCUGUUUCAGAUAAUGUAAUGUUAAUUUCUCAACCAUAAGCCACCUCUAACAUUGUUUUAGAGAAUUUGACAGUACAUCCAAUCUGCCUCACAACUGCAGACCACAUAUAACCACGCAAGCCCAGGACCUCCACAUCCGGCUUCUUCACCUGCAGGAUCAUCUAUGACCAGCCACCUGGACAGCUGAUGAAACUGAGGAGUAUUUCUGUCUGUAAUAAAGCUCUUUUAUGGUGAAAAACCUAUUCUGAUUCCCUCAGCCUGGCUCCCCAGUGGGUGGGCCUGGCUCCCAGGUGGGUGGGCCUAUGCCCUCCCAGGACCACCCAUGGCUGCGCCCCUGCCCAGUCAUGUGAAAUCCAUAGAUUAGGGCCUAAUACAUUUAUUUCAAUUGACUGACUUCCUUAAAUGAACUGUAACUCAGUAAAAUCAUUGAAAUUAUUGCAUGUUGCAUUUAUAUUUUUGUUCAUUAUAUAUCAAGAAGCCUUUAACUGACCAAAUAGGCUCACUCUCUUUAUUGACAACUUUAAUAGGCCACUUUGGGUUGACAUAUAAGAAGAACUUAAUGCCCAAUUUGGAGCAUCAUAUUAUCUGAGUCAACACUUAAAUAUGGAACUGCAGAAUCCCAUAAUGUCCCAUACUUAGAAAUAUGGCGUCAGAUAAAUAAGAGAGAGACAUCUUCACCAGCUCUGCUUCGUUAUAGAACAACCAUAAAUAAAUAUUAGAAGGACAGGUGGUUUUCUAGAAAGAGUGGUAUGGGUUUUGUUUUAUCCUCCACACUAAUGCACUUCACUUUUGCUUUUAGUGUCAACUUGAAUUUGAGUGUGGCUGUGGAAGACUGGUUCCUUGAUGAUGUCUGCAAUGAUCUCUGAUUCCAUCCCGUCAUGCCAAGGUUCACAAUCUGUCCGAAGAAUGCAAACUCUAUUCAAUUGUCCACUUUGCAACAAACAUACUUUCUCUGUGUCCAGACUACUCACAUAUUGGCCUCUAUCACCAGCACAAACUAAAUUGCAUAAUUACCUGUGGAUUUAAUAGGUGCUGGAAAACAUAUACAGUACAUUGGGAAAGUAUUCAGACCCCUUCCCUUUUUCCACAUGUUGUUAUGUUACAGCCUUAUUCUAAAAUGGAUUAAAUUAAUUGUUUUCCUUAUCAAUCUACACACAAUACUCCAUAAUGACAAAGCAAAAACAAAGCAAAAACACCUCAGGGAGGUGACCAAGAACCUCCUUGGUCACUCUGACAGAGCUCCAGAGUUCCUCUGUGGAGAUGGGAGAACCUUCCUGAAGGACAACCAUCUCUGCAGCACUCCACCAAUCAGGCCUUGAUGGUAGAGUGGCCAGACAGAAGCCACUCCUCAGUAACAGGUACAUGACAGCCUGCUUGGAGUUUACCAAAAGGUACCUAAAGGACUCUCAGACCAUGAGAAACAAGAUUCUCUGGUCUGAUGAAACCAAGAUUGAACUCUUUGGCCUGAAUGCCAAGUGUCACGUCUGGAGGAAACCUGGCACCAUCCCUACGGUGAAGCAUGGUGGUGGCAGCAUCAUGCUGUGAGGAUGUGUUUCAGCAGCAGGGACUGGGGGACUAGUCAGGAUCAAGGGAAAGAUGAACAGAGCAAAGUACAGAGAUCCUUGAUGAAAACAUGCUCCAGAGCGCCCAGGACCUUAGACUGGGGUGAAGGUUCACCUUCCAACAGUAGGUUCACCUUCCAACAGUAGGUUCACCUUCCAACAGUAGGUUCACCUUCCAACAGUAGGUUCACCUUCCAACAGUAGGUUCACCUUCCAACAGUAGGUUCACCUUCCAACAGUAGGUUCACCUUCCAACAGUUCGCAACAUGUAAAGUGUUGGUCCCAUGUUUCAUGAGCUGAAAGAAAAGUUCCUAGAAAUGUUCAACGACUCUAAGCACACAGGAAAGACAAUGCAGGAGUAUCUUCGGGACAAGUCUCUGAAUGUCCUUGAGUGGCCCGGACUUGAAUCCAAUUUAACAUCUCUGGAGAGACCUGAAAAUAGCUGUGCAGCGACGCUCCCCAUCCAACCUGACAGAGAAUCUGCAGAGAAGAAUGGGAGAAACUCCCCAAAUACAGGUGUACCAAGCUUGUAGCGUCAUACCAAAGAAGGCUCGAGGCUGCAAUUGUUGCCAAAGAUGCUUCAACAAAGUACUGAGUAAAGGGUCUGAAUACUUAUGCUAAUGUGAUAUUUCCGUUUUUUAUUUUUAAUACAUUUGCAAAAUUUCUAAAAACCUGUUUUUGCUUUGUCAUUAUGGAGUAUUGUGUGUUGAUUGAUGAGGGAUUUUUUUUUAAAAUCAAUUUUAGAAUAAGGCUGUAAUGUAACAAGAUGUGGAAAAAGUCUAGGGGUCUGAAUACUUUGUAGAUGUUUCAUCACCUAUCGGUCACACAUCUACCUGUCACGCCGGCUCCCACUCUCCCUCUCAGGCUGCCCUUCAUUGCGCACACCUGUCACCAUCAUUCCGCGCAUUAGCACUCACUGGACUCAACUGGACUCCUUCACUUUGUUGAUUACCUUCCCUAUUUCUGUCUGCUUCCGCUUUUGUUCCCUGUGUCAGCAUUAAUGUCAUUAUUUGUUCAUGUCCAGACGCUGUCCUGUUUUAUGUCCGUUGGUUAUUAAAUGCUCACUCCCUGUACCUGCUUCCUGUCUACCAGCGUAGAGCCUUACACUACCGAAACCACAGAGAUCAACACUUAGCAGCUAAUCGAAGGUCUCAAAAAGAAUAUCUGUAUUUCAUUUUGAAAAUCAGGGAAGAACACUGCCUCCCAGCUACGGUACAUAAUAGCAUUGUUGAAGACCACAGAACAAUUGUUGAUGCAUUUAUGACACACUACAGUGAUGCCCUCAGGUUUCACCUUACAAAUUAGCAAAUACAUGUGGAUGAAGAUGGUGAGGAAUGCAUUAGAUGCACAAGCUCUGAGUGGAUACUGGAGCAUUACUGUGUGAAAUAAUUGGGAAUGGUCAGGCCAAGUGUCACAACUCCUACCGAAGGUGGCUCCCCUUCCUGUUCGGGUGGCGCUCGGCGGUCGUCGUCACCGGCCUACUAGAUGCCACUGAUCCCUUUUCCCCUUUCUGUUUAUUGGUUUCACCUGUUUUGUGUGUAGGCUAUUAGUCGGGCUAUGUUAACCAGUAGGCCCGCCUGCUCUUUGUGAGGGAUUGGUUUGUGUUGCUCUGAGCACGUUCGAUGUUGACGUGUUUCGUUCAUGGGUUUUUCUCCAGACUGUUUGAGUCCCUGUGUUUGGGGCAUUUGUUUUGUGUGCGCCCUGUGUUUCGUGGGGUGGCUUAUGUUCGCGGUGUGUGCAAUAAAUAGCACUACCCUGUACUCUCUGCUUCCUGUGCCUGACUUCACACCCACUACGCCCAGAGCGUUACACCAAGUGAAGUACCCCUGAGCAACAAAGAAGGUUAUAAAACAAGGUCAUUUGAAUACAUCCCAUUGGUCAGCAUACUGCAAAAAUAGCAAGUAAUGAAGAGGUCUGGACCACCUUGAAUCAAGACCAAAAGCCACAUAAUGAUGAGAUUCUAGAAGACUUUACAGACGGUGAAUUGUUCAAAUCCCAACCUAACAAAGCAGAGCCUCCAUCUGCAGUUUUACAUAGAUGAAUUGGAAGUUGUCAAUCCACUGGGUUCUAAAAAAGGCAAGCACAAAUUGACCACUGUGUACUUUAGAUUAGGAAAUCUUGACCACAAGGAUACUCCCCAACUCCAGAAUAUAUACCUCUCCACAUUGGUUCAUCACCGCCUCAUUCGAAUACAAGUCACCACUUACUAAGAAGCAUUGGAGCAUUUGAUACGUGAAAUCCAGGAAUUGGAAGCACUGGGUGUGAAGUUAACAUGCAAUGGUGAAGACAAAACCUUCUGAAUAACAAUCACAACAGUCUCAGCAGAUGAUCUCUCCUCACGCAGGGUUGCAGGGUUGAGAAAAAAACGUUUCCUCUGGUCGCAUUUGUCGCUUCCAGACAUUGCAUCGAUGUAUUGGCAUCAAAAAAGCCUGUUGCUUCUCUCAGCUGAAUCAUGUGCCAUCUCCCAUUAUGUAUCUGUUUCCACCAGACGUCAUGCAUAACAUUCACGAGGGCAUCAUACCCACAUUGCUCAGACUGGUGUUGCAACAAUUACUCUUGUCCAGAUCAACUAUGAGGUUGAGAACUUGUCUUAUGGCAACGAGAUGUGUCUUCUAAACCUGCUCCACUAUCCGAGAGAGUCCAAAGGAAGAAUGGCCAUCUAUCAGGAAGUUCAUCAGAACAAUUAGCACGUUUUCGUUUACUCCCCCAAAUGAUUGGUAGUCAAAUACAAAAUGGCAGUGCUUGGAAUCUCUACGUCCUGUUUCGAGAGGUAUCUGAUGUCAUCUUGGCCAGCAUUUUAAGAUGAUCCUAGAUCCCAUAUCUGGCAGAAAAAAAUCACAGAAUUUCAAGCUCUCUUCCAGGAGCUGUUUCCAGGGAAGACAAUCGCAAAGAUGCACUACCUAGUCCACUACCCUAGCCUGCUAUGGACCUUUGAUGCACCAGUCCUCCAUGCGAUUUGAAGCGAAACACCAGUAUUUCAAGAGGCUCUUAGCAGUUGUGGAAAACCGUAAAAAUACAACGAAGACCCUGGCUAAAAGACAUUAGCUCUGACAAUGCUGGGAGCAAACCAACAACAACUGCCUUGGCAACAACAACACACUGUAUGGACACAAGAGACUUCCAACUGAGACGUCCCACUGCAUGCACUUCCAAACUCUGCCCAUGUAGUGUUAAGUGCCAGAUUCGGAUGAAAUCAUCAGAGCAAAAUGUGUCUCCAAGACAAUGUCCAUUGCAGUGAACAACGAGCGGUACAAUGUAGGAGACUAUCUGGUUAUUGACACUCAUUCAGAAGAGAUUCAUGUGUUCAUGGAAGUGUGUGGAAUAUACAGAUUCCUUGGUGCUGGUGUGGUAAAGUACUGCUACCAGCCAGUUUCAACAACCAUCACCACGCAGACAUGGUUCAACACAGUCAACAAUGGUUUCUAUAAGUCCUGUUGAGGAGAUGGAUUUCCAUGGGUUAGAUGGAUACAGGGACCCAGAGGGAAGAGUGUCCAUUCCAUUCUGCCACUGGUUUGCGGUUAGUUCAAAUCAUAGAUUUAUUCAUUUAGGAAGCACAAUGCACUUUUAUUUUCAUAUGGGUUUCCUAUUCUGAUACACACUAACCAAAACACUGACAUGUUCUUUUUAUUUAGGGUAUUUUUCCCCACAGAACACCAAAUUGAUGGAGAGACAUUGAUGUCAUUGGACCAAAGAAUAGUGGAGCAAAUUGUGUCAGUAGUCUAAGUUUGAAUCAAAUUCACAAAAUUAAUCCAAAAGCUGUAAAUAUGUAAGUCAAUGUAUGACUAUCAUCUGCAUCAUUGAUUCUAUCACAGUGAUCCUAUUCACAUUCACAUUCUCUGCUCUUUUGUUUUCUUUCUGAGCCUGAAAGCACAAUAAACGGUAUUAUUGUCAGUUCCCAGCAAACAGCCCAGCAAAUGACCCAGCAGCAUCUGUCCAGCACAAUGACCCAGCAUCUGUCCAGCAAAAUGACCCGCCAUCUGUCCAGCACAAUGACCCAGCAGCAUCUGUCCAGCAAAAUGACUCAGCAUCUGUCCAGCAAAAUGACUCACCAUCUGUCCAGCACAAUGACCCAGCAGCAUCUGUCCAGCAAAAUGACCCAGUGUAACAGUAUAACUUUAGACCGUCCCCUCGCCCAUACCCAGGCGCGAACCAGGGACCCUCUGCACACAUCAACAACAGUCACCCACGAAGCAUCGUUACCCAUCGCUCCACAAAAGCCGCAGCCCUUGCAGAGCAAGGGGAACUACUACUUCAAGGUCUCAGAGCAAGUGACGUCACCGAUUGAAACACUAUUUAGCACGAACACCGCUAACUAGCUAGCCAUUUCACAUCUGUUACAUCAGCAUCUGUCCAGCAAAAUGACCCAGGAUCUGCCCAGCAAAAUCACCCAUUAAUUAGCCUUCAGCAUGAUAUAUCAACUGGCCAGCAACAGGAAACAUAAUUCAGCCCGAAUCUGGCCAUCUGGGCUUUUAGACUUCCAGAAUUUCCAGACGUAUUAAAAGAAAAACCUGAAAGAAAAUGUGACGAUCUCCGUUGCCCUGCGGUUCUCUCGAAGUGGAGGUCUCAGAUUGGGCAGGUGUUGUUUGCCUUCAUGUGUACCUAUACUUGGUGAGUAUAGUUAUGUAGUAAACUGAUGUUAGCUUAAUGUUAAUGAUAUAAGUUCAUACAUGCUUGUUUGUGUGUUUGUGUGUGUGCAUCAGCCUGAGCCCUUCUCCUGUCUCUGUCCUCCAUACUCUGUCUUCUCAUAAUCACUGCAGCUUAUAGCAUAGCACAUAGUCAACUUCUACAUGAUGAUAAUCAACACCAUCAGUCAAUGUCAUUUGUAUUAUGAACAUAAUUGUUAGUCUAACUAUAUUCUUGUAUGUUUCUACUCUCGUUGAGAGACCAGACAGUGAAGGGAUAUGUACGAAUUCUUCAGUUUUCAUACUCACGCUAAUAACCUUUUUACACUAUUGUGCCUACCCAGAUCAUAAUGUGCUGGCUUGGAUAUUUUCUUCUCACAUUGUUAAACCAUCACAUUUCCAGCAGCAUAACAAGACCAUCUCUAUUCUGCUCCUCUGACCUCGGUCCCAAUAAUCCAUCAUUUCUCCUCUCCACAUUUUAUUUUUUAAGGAGUCAUGGAACGGCAUGAUAAAGAAUAAAUACAAGUACAGGAAAUGCAGAAGAAGUUUAGGGGGCAAGGGAAAAAAUAAACCCAGAUGACAUCAAAAAUGAAGACCUGACCAAAAUAGCCAAGAUUGAGAUUGGUGAGAAUUCCUUCAGUCAAGAGUUACAUGUUGAACAGAUGCAGGUGGAAUGCCAAGAAAAGAGACCGAACAUCAGUUCCCUACAAGACAAAACGAAAAGGACUGAAAAAUAACGUUUUUAUGAAACAAGGCACCAAGGACAUCUUAAAACUGUACCCAGCACUCCAUUUGUCAGCCAUUGUCUGAAGGUCACUGCAGCCAUUUUGCUCCUCCCCUACCUGUUCAAAGAAGAUCCAAGUGGGUACGUCACAGGUGAGGGGAAUACCUUUACGGAUGAGAGCCACAUUCAACUCUUCCUGGAUGGAGAGGAGCUACUCAUUAAAGAGCUGGAGGACAUCUCCAUGGAUUGGGAGUGGCAAUGGGGGUCCAUUUCCUUUUUAAUAUUGAGUAUGCAGCAUCAUUAAAAAGCACUACGCUGUUCAUUCAGAUGUGUUCUGGGAAUUGAUGAGGGAGAUAAAUUACCAACAAAUGUAGGAAUGGCUAACUUUUUGCUGUAGAGAUGGAUAAGGGAGACCAGAGAUUUCUGGGACGUCUGCAAGUGAGAUUUCUGGGACGUUUAAAGUCAAUAAAAUGAAUUUGUGACUUUACAAGUUCACCACUCAAUGUUAUUUGUAUUAUUAUUGUUCAUAGUAUUAUUAUUGUUAUUGUUCAUAAUGGAAUACAUGGGUCAUAAAAGUUUCCUACAGGAACCUUAACGCCCUAAAAGGUUAUUUGAGGAACCUUUUUAAAAGAUUCCUCAGGGAAAAGGUUCCUGAAAGCAAAGAGAGUUCCAAACCUCUCUGACAAUGGGCGAAUUCGAUUAUAGACCGGACACCGGUCUGUGGCCUGUACAUGUUAUCAACAAGGCAGCAUGUUGCAUCAUCCAGAAACGCACAUCUCCUUUCUACAAAAUACAUGUUCGAUUUGUUUUUUUUGGGGGGGGGUUGCGCCACGGGAUUUUCUUUCAGGAGUAGAGGUUUCUCCUCCGUGUGUUGCGAUUAUUCCCUGUGUGUGGCGACUUCGUUUGGGCGUGUUCUUCCACCUGUUGUUGUUGAGUUGGGACUUCUAAUAAACGAUUGUGCUACUGGG
ensembl:lncRNA